GACGAACGCUGGCGGCGUGCUUAACACAUGCAAGUCGAACGGAAAGGCCCUGCUUUUGUGGGGUGCUCGAGUGGCGAACGGGUGAGUAACACGUGAGUAACCUGCCCUUGACUUUGGGAUAACUUCAGGAAACUGGGGCUAAUACCGGAUAGGAGCUCCUGCUGCAUGGUGGGGGUUGGAAAGUUUCGGCGGUUGGGGAUGGACUCGCGGCUUAUCAGCUUGUUGGUGGGGUAGUGGCUUACCAAGGCUUUGACGGGUAGCCGGCCUGAGAGGGUGACCGGCCACAUUGGGACUGAGAUACGGCCCAGACGCCUACGGGAGGGAGCAGUGGGGAAUAUUGCACAAUGGGCGGAAGCCUGAUGCAGCAACGCCGCGUGCGGGAUGACGGCCUUCGGGUUGUAAACCGCUUUCGCCUGUGACGAAGCGUGAGUGACGGUAAUGGGUAAAGAAGCACCGGCUAACUACGU
rnacentral:rRNA from 1 species